rnacentral:misc_RNA from 1 species
AAAAGAGAGUUGCAUAAAAUGGUGGAGGACUUGAAGUGCAAGUAUGAUGAGAUUGAGUUGAUACGAGCAGAUCAAGAAAAGCAGAUCAUUAAACUGUCUGGAGACUGUUAUGAACAAACUAAGGAGGUAGAAUGCAUUCAGGAAGCAAAUCGGAAAUUGGAGACUGAACUGGGGAAAUUGAAUGGAGAACUUUUAGAAAAUAAGAUCAGGGAGGAAAGUUUGAAUUGUGAACUGCAAAAAAGAAGAAAUGAGGUAGAAUGGUGGGAGUCUCAGGCUGCUGCACUUUUUGGCGAACUGCAGACAUCUGCUGUCCAACAAGCACUGUAUGAAGGAAAGGUUCAUGAGCUCAUUGAAACAUGUGAGAGCCUUGAAGGCAGAAAUUGUUUGAAAGCUAGCGAGAUUGACCAGAUGAAAGAAAGAGUAGGCACCGUGGAACAUAAGAAUGAAGAACUAAGGUCUCAGAUGACUUCAUAUGUCCCAGCUUUCAUUUCUUUGAUGGAUUGUAUAGCAUCUCUGGAAAAUCAUACUCUCUCACAUGCAAAACUUCAUGAAAUUCACAAGAAGGAAGCCAAGGAUGCCCCCUUUGCGGUGGAUGCUGAAAGCUGUCAACAGAUUAGCGAUGAUCAAAUUAGCGUGGGGCCAGGUGGACUUUUGGACUUGCAGGGUUUGCAAAUGAGGAUUAUAGCUAUUGAAGAAGCUGUAAAAGAAAGGGAGAGACUAGUUAUUCUGGAAAACUCUAAUGCUAAUUCCAAACUUGCUGAUGCAAUUAGACAGAUUGAAGAG